GGAUGGGUGAUGAGUACAUUUGUGUAAGGAUGUUAAGUAAUCCAUAAAUUGCCAAUCUGAGGUUC